rnacentral:tRNA from 1 species
GCCGCCAUAGCUCAAUGGAAGAGCGCCGUCUUUCUAAGGCGGGCCAUCGCUGGUGACACCUCAAAAAUAUCACUGUGCAUUUCACCACUGCAUAAAUCCAUUUUGAGGGUGCUGGUUCGAGUCCAGCUGGCGGCUGA